AAGUAAGAAGCGAUUAAUUGCAUUCAGUUUCGACCUGACCCUAGAUACCUUCAUAUCCUUACUUU
rnacentral:tRNA from 1 species